AGUCAUUGUGGAUUAAGAAUCCAUGUCAGGUUUUCAGGAAUCCCUCCGGCUCAGACGGCUCCCGCAGACGACUGCUUUCCACUGCACUGGCGCUGUGUGCUGGAAGCCCGCUCCGCGCUGCUUCCUCCAAGUGUCUCAACACUGUGAGCGGGAUCUCUUCCAGAGGCGAGCCGCUGAAACUUGCCCAGUCUCCACAGUCUGAUUCAGGGGAGCCAAGAGAACAGCAUCGGUGGCUAUAAGUACGCUUUGCUUUACCUCUCCCCGUCAUCAGACACUGAAAAAGCCCUCACUCCGUGUUGUCACUCUUGUCACCCAGUGUUUUUUUUUUUUUUUUUCUUUUCUCCUUUUGCUUUUUAAUUUUUUUCCCCCCACCCUCGCUUCUCUACUCUUCUCGUUUGUUUCUGCUGCAUCGGGAGUGAGUGCGCAGCGGAGCGCCGUGACUUGAUGAGCCGCUUAAAAAGGUGGUGUGAGGUGUUGAUGAGUUAGGACUGAGCGCAGAGCAACACCUUGCAUGCCAUGGAAGUGCGUGUCCGGCGCAGGGGGAUGUGUGCGGGCUGAGAGGGGGACUCUUCGCCUGAUAACCAGCCGCUCUGUCCCAGAUUAAGAGGGGGAAGCAUGCCUCAGACCUGCAGACCAACUCUCUUCGAUGCAGAGGAGUCCCCACCAGACUGUCUUUUCACAAUCUGACGUUUUUAUCCACAAAUCACAUUUCGUUUCUUCCCGAACUGACUUUUUGCUUUGCCAUUUUUGGCGGCUCCACUGCUUUUCCAAAAAAAAAAAAAAAAAAAAAAGGGAAGAAGAUCGAUAAUGAGCAUCUCUGAGACCAGUUGGCUUGGGCUUUUCUGAUCAGAAGCUGUUACCCACAACACUAACCUGCCACAAAUCAUCAAUACUCAGCACCAUGGCAUGCAGCCUGCGGACACUACACACCUUUUGCUGGUUUCUCAUCACUCUAAACCAAGUACACUCCACAGAGGGGUAUAGCAGA